rnacentral:misc_RNA from 1 species
AUGGCUGUCGUCAGCUCGUGAUGGCCGGCAAGCACCUUUUGCCAAUCGUCCGUGAUUCUGGGCUCGCCUAGAUCAACGUCGACCUCGACAUCUGCCGCCACAACGGGGUGGAGACGUUUGCUGUUGAGUUUUGAGAGACCGGCUGCUAAUGCAGGCGGUAUUUCUCGUUGGACGAGCUGAGCUCGUGCGCACCUUGAAAACUCCAUAGCUGCGAAAUUAUGAGUUCUUCACGAUCAAGAGAAUAAGGGCACACGGUGGAUGCCUUGGCGCCAAGAGCCGAAGAAGGACGUGGGCGGCUGCGAUAAGCUCGGGUGAGGUGCUGACCAACCUUUGACCCCGAGAUUUCCGAAUGGGGAAACCCGG